AACGAACGCUGGCGGCAUGCCUAACACAUGCAAGUCGAACGAGACCUUCGGGUCUAGUGGCGCACGGGUGCGUAACGCGUGGGAAUCUGCCCUUGGGUUCGGAAUAACAGUUGGAAACGACUGCUAAUACCGGAUGAUGACGUAAGUCCAAAGAUUUAUCGCCCAAGGAUGAGCCCGCGUAGGAUUAGCUAGUUGGUGAGGUAAAGGCUCACCAAGGCGACGAUCCUUAGCUGGUCUGAGAGGAUGAUCAGCCACACUGGGACUGAGACACGGCCCAGACUCCUACGGGAGGCAGCAGUGGGGGAUAUUGGACAGUGGGCGAAAGCCUGAUCCAGCAAUGCCGCGUGAGUGAUGAAGGCCUUAGGGUUGUAAAGCUCUUUUACCCGGGAUGAUAAUGACAGUACCGGGAGAAUAAGCUCCGGCUAACUCCGUG
rnacentral:rRNA from 1 species